rnacentral:rRNA from 1 species
UACGUAGGGUGCAAGCGUUGUCCGGAAUUAUUGGGCGUAAAGAGCUCGUAGGCGGCUUGUCGCGUCGGCUGUGAAAACUCGGGGCUCAACCCCGAGCCUGCAGUCGAUACGGGCAGGCUAGAGUCCGGCAGGGGAGACUGGAAUUCCUGGUGUAGCGGUGAAAUGCGCAGAUAUCAGGAGGAACACCGGUGGCGAAGGCGGGUCUCUGGGACGUUACUGACGCUGAGACGCGAAAGCGUGGGGAGCGAACAGG